rnacentral:rRNA from 1 species
AUACGUAGGGGGCGAGCGUUGUCCGGAAUGAUUGGGCGUAAAGGGCGCGUAGGCGGCCCGGUAAGUCUGGAGUGAAAGUCCUGUUUUUAAGAUGGGAAUUGCUUGGAUACUGUCGGGCUUGAGUGCAGGAGAGGUAAGUGGAAUUCCCAGUGUAGCGGUGAAAUGCGUAGAGAUUGGGAGGAACACCAGUGGCGAAGGCGACUUACUGGACUGUAACUGACGCUGAGGCGCGAAAGUGUGGGGAGCAAACAGGAUUAGAUACCCUGGUAGUCCACACUGUAAACGAUGAAUGCUAGGUGUAGGGGGUAUCGACCCCUUCUGUGCCGCAGUCAACACAAUAAGCAUUCCGCCUGGGGAGUACGGCCGCAAGGUUGAAACUCAAAUGAAUUGGCGGGG